rnacentral:rRNA from 1 species
UACGUAGGGGGCAAGCGUUGUCCGGAAUUAUUGGGCGUAAAGAGCGUGUAGGCGGUCCGGUAAGUCCGCUGUGAAAGUCCAGGGCUCAACCCUGGAAUGCCGGUGGAUACUGCCGGGCUAGAGUCCGGAAGAGGCGAGUGGAAUUCCUGGUGUAGCGGUGGAAUGCGCAGAUAUCAGGAGGAACACCGAUAGCGAAGGCAGCUCGCUGGGACGGUACUGACGCUGAGGUGCGAAAGCGUGGGGAGCGAACAGG